rnacentral:rRNA from 1 species
CAUCGCCGCUGGAAUACGGAGGGUGCAAGCGUUAAUCGGAAUUACUGGGCGUAAAGCGCACGCAGGCGGUCUGUCAAGUCAGAUGUGAAAUCCCCGGGCUUAACCUGGGAACUGCAUUUGAAACUGGCAGGCUAGAGUCUUGUAGAGGGGGGUAGAAUUCCAGGUGUAGCGGUGAAAUGCGUAGAGAUCUGGAGGAAUACCGGUGGCGAAGGCGGCCCCCUGGACAAAGACUGACGCUCAGGUGCGAAAGCGUGGGGAGCAAACAGGAUUAGAUACCCGGGUAGUCCCUGUCUCUUAUACC